UACGAAGGGGGCUAGCGUUGUUCGGAUUUACUGGGCGUAAAGCGCACGUAGGCGGAUCGAUCAGUCAGGGGUGAAAUCCCAGAGCUCAACUCUGGAACUGCCUUUGAUACUGUCGAUCUGGAGUAUGGAAGAGGUGAGUGGAAUUCCGAGUGUAGAGGUGAAAUUCGUAGAUAUUAGGAAGAACACCAGUGGCGAAGGCGGCUCACUGGCCCGGUACUGACGCUGAGGCGCGAAAGCGUGGGGAGCAAACGGG
rnacentral:rRNA from 1 species